rnacentral:tRNA from 1 species
GUAGCUCAGCGGGAGAGCACCUCGUUCACACCGAGGGGGUCACAGGUUCAAUCCCUGUCGCAUCCA